GAGUGUCCUCACUGCAAAAUCACGGCUCCUGAUCUCAAGACCAUGCAGAUCCAUCACGAGUCAAGAAGCAUCCCAAGAUCCCUUACGAAGAGUCCAAGCUCGUGAAUCUCCAUGCUGUUUUGGCUCCAGUGGCUGAGUCCAAACCUAAACCUGGAAUCAGGGGAAGCUUAAAGAAGUAAAUCUUUAUGCUUCAGUUUCCUGAAAAAUUUAUCAUCUUUUAAUCUUUUAUGUUUGUUUAAGACAAUGAUUUGCUACUCUACCCCUAAUCAAUCUUGUUGAAUGUUGAUGAUGCUUAUCUGCUGUUUUUCAAAUGGAGUAGGGAGAUGUUAUAUGAAUAAACUGAUCUUUGAACGAUUGUUUGAGUCUUUGUUUAUUGCAAAUGUUC
rnacentral:lncRNA from 1 species